GAUGAACGCUGGCGGCGUGCCUAAUACAUGCGAGUCGAGCGAACGGACGAGAAGCUUGCUUCUCUGAUGUUAGCGGCGGACGGGUGAGUAACACGUGGAUAACCUACCUAUAAGACUGGGAUAACUUCGGGAAACCGGAGCUAAUACCGGAUAAUAUUUUGAACCGCAUGGUUCAAAAGUGAAAGACGGUCUUGCUGUCACUUAUAGAUGGAUCCGCGCUGCAUUAGCUAGUUGGUAAGGUAACGGCUUACCAAGGCAACGAUGCAUAGCCGACCUGAGAGGGUGAUCGGCCACACUGGAACUGAGACACGGUCCAGACUCCUACGGGAGGCAGCAGUAGGGAAUCCUCCGCAAUGGGCGAAAGCCUGACGGAGCAACGCCGCGUGAGUGAUGAAGGUCUUCGGAUCGUAAAACUCUGUUAUUAGGGAAGAACAUAUGUGUAAGUAACUGUGCACAUCUUGACGGUACCUAAUCAGAAAGCCACGGCUAACUACGUG
rnacentral:rRNA from 1 species